rnacentral:lncRNA from 1 species
UCGAAUAAUGUCCCGCACGUGAGCGUCCCUGAUAUUUCUCCUCCCUUUUGCUUUGGGUGACUGCGUAUUCCCUCCGUCGCGGACCACCACCAAACUCAGCUGUGCUCUUGGGUUGAACUACAUCAGAGAUAUUUAGGUAAGUUGGAUUUAUCUAAUCUUUUAUUGGUUAAUUUCGAACUGAUUUUAUUUUUCUUUUCGUAUGAAAUCUUUGCUAAACUAUGUGUUGUGAAUUCACCCAGCUUCAAGAUUAGAGGUUGUUUAAUAUGUCAGACGGAAUAAUCACAACUAACAAACCGUCUAUAUUUUCGCUAUGAGCUUUGAUACUUAUUGCGUUUCAUAUUUUAGUUGACAUGGAAAUGUUUUUGGUGGGUUGUUUCUUUGAGUGAUUCAAGAGUGGUGUUUCUUGUUGUUGCACGCUCCAGUAUAUAUCCAUUGUCAUGGAUUCACAGGAAAACCAACCACAACCCCAUCCAACUCAAUCCUUAAACUUCAAAUUGAAAUCAUCUGUAUUCUAUGUCUCCUCCAUCCUAAUUCUCGUCCUGGCCAUCUCAUUCAGUUUCACCAAAUCAAACUUUCUAAAACCCCAACACCUCAAGUACACAUUCUCGGUAGAUCCCACCUUGUUUCAGACUAUUCUAGAGUUUAUUCACUCAUCCAAUAAAACCAUACAAACCCAAGAACCUGAACCCAUUUCGCUUCCCCGCAACUGUGUCAUGUGGAUGGCUCCUUUUCUAUCAGGUGGUGGCCACAGUUCAGAAGGUUGGUCGUAUAUUUUAUCCCUUCAUGAACAGAAUAGAACCCGCAGUUUUAGAAUUGCUAUUGAGCAACAUGGUGAUCUACUGUUCGCUUGAAUUCUGGCAGGGAUUGCCUGAAUAUAUGAAAGAUUUGGCAACUGAGCUUUACCGCACAAAAUGUAAUAUGAAAGAGACGAUAGUCAUAUGUCAUAGUGAGCCUGGUGCAUGGAACCCCCCAUUGUUUGAAACUCUGCCUUGUCCUCCAGCUGCUUAUGGAAACUUCAAAUCUGUGAUUGGUCGGACCAUGUUUGAAACUGAAAGGGUGAGUCCCGAACAUUCGAAAAGCUGUAACAAAAUGGAUUACGUGUGGGUUCCUACUGAGUUUCAUGUAUCUAAAUUCAUAGAAAGUGGGUUUGAUCCAUCUAAGGUGGUCAAAAUUGUGCAGCCUAUUGAUGUGAAGUUCUUUAAUCUAGUCGAGUAUGAGCCAUUAAAUCUUGCUUCUAUAGGGAAAUUGGUCAUGGGGAAGAAAACACGGAACUUAAAAUUUGUGUUUUUAAGCAUUUUUAAGUGGGAAUACAGGAAAGGAUGGGAUGUUUUGCUGAAAGCAUAUUUGGGAGGAAGAAUACUUUAUAUCUUUUAACAAAUCCGUAUCACUCGGAGAAAGAUUUCAGCAAUAAGAUAGUGGAGUUCGUGCAGAAAUCUGGAAUAGAAAAACCAGUGACUGGUUGGUCUCCAGUUUAUGUGAUCUGACACUCAUAUUGCCCAGUCUGAUCUACCUCCAAUAUACAAGGCAGCUGAUGCAUUUGUUCUUCCAUCAAGAGGGCUGGGGAAGGCCUCUGGUCGAAGCUAUAGCAAUGUCAUUGCCGGUGAUUGCCUCAAAUUGGUCGGGACCAACAGAGUAUUUGACAGAGGAGAAUAGCUAUCCCUUGAUAGUGGAUAGGAUGAGUGAAGUAAUGGAAGGGCCUUUCAAAGGACAUCUCUGGGCAGAGCCUUCUGUUACUAAGCUUCGGGUGUUGAUGAGGCAUGUAAUGGAUAAUGUCAACGAAGCCAAGGCCAAAGGAAGAAGAGCAAGGGAAGACUUGAUCACGAAGUUUGCUCCGGAAAUUGUUGCAGAUAUUGUUAUCAAACAUGUACUAAAUAUAUUCGAAAAGAUGGAUUGAUACUUGCUUUGGUUGUUAAUGGCAUGAACUAGUUUUCUUUGGCCGGUUAGCUAUUGAUCAGGUAGCGAGGCUUACAUCACAAUCACCUAAAAUUUUCAUAACAAACUGUAGUACACGUACAACAGUAAUAAUAUCCUAAUUGGUUACCAAAACUGGCCCCUAUCAGCCCGAAUCUGCAAUCAGUCUAUUCUAGCUCAAUGCUCAUGCACAAGACUAUAAACACACGCGAGCAAUUGAUCUACUAAUAACGCCACCUAAAGUUGAAGUUUCCGCUUGGCAGUCAAUCAGAAAAAAAAAAUAAUAUAUAUAUAUAUAUAUAUAUAUAUAUAUAUAUAUAUUCGAACUACUAGGGACCAUGCCUUUACUAAUUCUGAUGUAAAUCAAUUUUGUGCUCUUUGUAAGUCUGACUGAAACUCUAGAUCAUUUUUUCUUCUUUGGCCAGACUUUUCCCGACUUUUUUAUGCUGCAUUGUAAUUUAGGCUUUAUUGAUUGGUUAGAUCGUAUUGCUUAUUUUCAAACGGACACUUAAGGGUUUUCAAACGGACACUUAAGCUGUAGCCUUGGAAACUGCCUAUCAUACUAUAUUUGGAAUUCAAGAAAUAAUGUCAAUUUCACAAAUUAAUGUGCAUCUCCUUUUCAUAUCUUUUAUAGUGAUGCCAAUCCUUGCAGCUUCUAAAGGUCUGAGAGGAAUCAGGAUAUUCUCUUAACUGAGGCUUUAGCAGUUGGAGCGAGUCUUCAUGCAACUUUCAUUCAUGGUUUUCAUGAUUUAGAGGCGGAGUUGCUCAUUCAUAGUAUUAAGUAUUAACGGAGCUUGCCAUAUUGCUUGGGAAUUCUUGUUCUUGGUUGGAGACAUCAAACUCCUCGGCUUCGCAACUACAAAUAUCUACUUGUAAACAUGUGAGAAGCAAACUUUCUGACAGAAGUCUAGUUCAAUUCUCUUCCUCCUGCAGCAGUCAAGCUUUUCUUUCACACUUUUUUGAGUUCUGCUUGUCUAGAGGUUUUUCUUUGUAAUUUUGGUUUCUUGAUUUGGAUAGAGAAAAGUUCAAUCAAAUAUGAGCAACCCAACUCAAAAUGCUUCUGUUUGCCACCCUACUAUAAUUUUUUUUUAUCAACUUCUGUUCCAAUUUUAUAAGUUGAAAAUCCAAACUUUGUAAAGCACAUCAGUGUUCAGACACUUUGAAUGGUCUCCGUUCAAAGUUCAAACACUUACUCUUGAAAACCUUAUACAUACACUACAAAUACAACAAUUUAAUAACAAAGUUUACAUGCCAGCAAGUUUACAGAAGCCCUCGUUCCUAGUUUGGUUAUUCCACAUUGAAGAGCUGAAUUUUGGACUGGGUCAUUUGACAUUACAAAUUUACAAUACUCAGAAUGCGAUAGGAUCAUCUUUUGGAAGAGAAUGCCAUGGAAAUAGAACCUAGUUUCAGUCACCCUAAAAAGAUUGGAGUGAUAAGACUAGGGGCAUGAUCAAUGCUCAUCUUGGCAAGGGAGUCGGGUUAUUCAUCUAUAUUUUCAAUCCCAGCAUGGAAUCAGUAGCUAACCAAAUAAAAUAAAAAAUUGGUGAUUAGCAUAAUAUACCUCUAAUCUCCUUCAAUACCUGUCUUGAGCUAAAUCCUGAAUGCAAUCUACUUUUCCGCAGGCCUACUAUGUUCGUUCGACACAGAUGAAAUACCAUGCUCGAUACACUGGACAAAAAUUCAUUGUCAGG